UGGGACACGCUUAUUUUUUAAGCUAGU
rnacentral:piRNA from 1 species